rnacentral:snoRNA from 10 species
UCAUCAGUUCGGGUGAUCCUUACCUGUUGUCCAUAUAUGGACUUCAGAUAAGUACAUGAUGACACUGGGUUUAUGAGUUUGAUGACUUAUAAUAUCCCUUGCCUUGUACUGGUAACAACACACCAGUGCUUGGUAUGUCUGAG